rnacentral:rRNA from 1 species
GACGUAGGGUCCAAGCGUUGUCCGGAUUUACUGGGCGUAAAGAGCGCGUAGGCGGUCUGUUAAGUGUAGAGUGAAAUCUCCAGGGCUCAACCCGGAAACUGCUCUGCAUACUGGCAGACUUGAGGGAUGCAGAGGUUUGUGGAAUUCCUGGUGUAACGGUGAAAUGUGUUGAUAUCAGGAGGAACGCCCAUGGCGAAGGCAGCAAACUGGGCAUCAUCUGACGCUGAGGCGCGAAAGCGUGGGUAGCAAACAGG